AGAAAAGAUGUAGCCACGGUGGUCACCAAGGGGAGGCAUGCGGCGCGGGGCUGGAGACGGACGUCAGGCGGAGACACCCCAUGGGGAAAAGAGGUCGGCCCUCCGCAUAACGAUCACAGAUGGCUGCCUAGCUAUAACUUAGCUAAUCCGCAAGUAUCCUGGUGGAUCAAGAUUCAAGACUGAACCAACGAACAUGCUUACUGCAGAAAAGCUGUGGAUCUUCACAUAGUGACGACAUGAUGUAGUAAGGAAGGUAGGCAUGUGUCCUAAAAAAAGGGAAGGUAGGCAUGUAAUAUAUUUCAGUGAGA